CUUCUGGCGGCAACAUGCUAUAGGGUUGGUGGUCCCGCUUACGAGGUUAAAUCAAUACGUUUUCGUCUUGUGUAGCCCUUAUUUGUCUUUUGUUCUUUGGCCUUGACUUUCCUCUUCCCCCCUCUUUUCAACAUCUAUGAUAUGUUCUGUUCUAUAUUUUGUUCGGCUCCGAAGAAAGAAAUUGGGGUUCCCAAUGCUUCUCCACUCCCAACGAUAUGCGCCAACCUCGGGAUGCUUUACUCCUAACCCCACAAGGUUCCCUAGAGCACUUCACAUUCCGCGUUCUUUACGCCUUAGCGAAUUGACGCCUCUGCUAGGCAGCGUGUGGAAUGGCCGAGAGCGAAUGCUAGAAGAAAGAUCAUUGUUAAUCAAGGGUUCGUUUCUCAAACGGAAACCGUAAUUAACAGAAGCUAGUUCACGACUUCCGGAAGAUGGGUCCCCACAAUCAAACAAUCAACCCAUCCAACAACGAUGAGGGAAUUGGCA